rnacentral:rRNA from 1 species
CCUACGGGUGGCAGCAGUGAGGAAUAUUGGUCAAUGGACGCAAGUCUGAACCAGCCAAGUCGCGUGCAGGAUGACGGCCCUAUGGGUUGUAAACUGCUUUUGUACGGGGGUAAACUCAGAUACGUGUAUCUUUUUGCAAGUACCGUAUGAAUAAGGAUCGGCUAACUCCGUGCCAGCAGCCGCGGUAAUCCGGAGGAUUCAAGCGUUAUCCGGAUUUAUUGGGUUUAAAGGGAGCGUAGGCGGUCUGUUAAGUUAGUUGUGAAAUUCCGCGGCUCAACCUCGGAAUUGCCGCUGAUACUGGUGGGCUUGAGAGCGGUUGAGGUAGGCGGAAUGUGUGGUGUAGCGGUGAAAUGCUUAGAGAUCAUGAAGAACUCCGAUUGCGAAGGCAGCUUACCAAGCUGCGACUGACGUUGAGGCUCGAAGGCGUGGGGAGCAAACAGGAUUAGAUACCCCUGUAGUC